AUGUGAUAUCACAAAAACAAAAAGGAAAAAUUGGAUACACAAGUCACGCCCCUGGAGACAGAGCAAAGACCAAGAGAUCCACGUGCCUAUUUUCCCAGACCUAGGGUUACAUCCCCCAAGCCAGAGCAAGAAAAAGCCGCCACGCAGUUUCUUCCUUUCAAAUGGAGGCUCACAGCCCCUACCUGUCUGUUUUAGCUUCGGCGAUUCGGAUUUGGCUCUUUCUUAAACGAAACAAAUUUUCUUAAUUUUUUCUGUAGUCACUCAUUUCUUUGUUUGGAUCACAGAAAGAGAGAAAUAGAGAUGGAAAUUGAAAACUCAAUUUCCUUAUUAUUCUUGCUAUCACAGGGAAUCAAAGGAUAUGAGGCGUCCUCGCAGCCUCGACCAACAGAUGACUCACUCGCGUCCCUUGAUUCUCCGUGAUAAGAAAGAGAUAUCCAUCGAGGAUGGUUCAGUGUAUGUUCGUCUUAAAUGCCAGCUUUUGUUGCACAAAUUAUGCGCUGAAUUGUCACCAAAGAUCAAACACCCCUUUCAUCCAACGUAUCCUCUUGUGCUCCGCAAUAUCAAUAUGGAAUGUUUUGUUUUGGGGUUCAAUUACUGGUGUGCCAAGUGCGAUACUCUACUUUCAAAUUUGAACUUCACCAGCAGUCUCUUGCUUUAUUCAACCAGAACAAGUGUAACAAGGCUAGCAGAAUUGAGUGCAUUCGUACACGGAUACAUUCCCCUUAUUCCGUUGUGUGCCAUGCGAUUUCACUCUAAUGUUGUCAUCCCACAUUACCACAUACAUUUAAACAUAGUUGCCAUGACCAACAUCCACUCACCCUCACUCGCUCUCCCAUCAAAGACCAUUCAGACGACGAUGAUAGCUGGGAAUAUUACUGUGACCUUUGCGAGGAAAGAAGAUACCUGCAAGAUCCAAUUUAUUAUUGUGAGGAAUGCCACUAUGUUACUCAUAUUAGUUGCGUGUUUGAUGAGAUUCUUCCAUUACUAAAGUGGUCCUUGGCACAAGAUGUAGAGAUUGUAAUGCUUCAAGCAGAGAUAGAUGCACUUACUGCAAAAUCAGGGAUACUAAUAACAAAUUUGUAUGAACUUAAGGAGAAACAUGCGCAACAUAUUAGUGACUACCAAGUUGGGGUAACGGAAGUGUUGAUUAAAAAUGCGUUUUUAAGUGCCACAAGAGAUGAUCCUGCCAUUGCUAAAGCAAAUGAAGAGACUAUAAUGCUUCAAGCAGAGGUAGAUGCACUGACAGCAAAAUUAGAGACAAUAACAACAAAAUUAGAUGAACUUAUGGAGAAACGUGUGCAACAUAUAAGUGACUACCAAGUUGGUAAGUUGUUUUGUACUCGGUUGUAUUAAAAAUAGUUGUCAUGUUUAUUAUUGGGCAUUUGAAGCGUGAUUAAUAUCUAGCAUGAUGAUUUGAGAAUUGUCCUUAGUUAGAGUAUACUUGAUGAUAAGAAUGAUGCAGGGGUAAUGGAAGUGGAGAUUAAAUUUGCAUCAACAUCUGCAAUUGCUAGAGCAGAAGAAGAGAUUAUAGUGUUUCAAGCAGAGGUAGAUGCAGUGACAGCAAAAUUACAGACAGUAACAACAAAAUUGGAUGAACAUAAGGAGAGACAUAAUGGUCUUUUACUGUAUAUGUGGUGAUCAAUAAACAUAAAUGACCUAGAAGAGAAAUGGAGUGCAGACUUUUCCAGUUAACCAUAAAUUCGGCAAACGACCUAGAGAACGUCCGAGAAAUAUUCGACAUGAAGGUCUAUGCAAAGGUUUCGACAUGAAGGUCUAUGCAAAGGUUUCUAUAGGUGAAUCCACAGUGUGAUGUGAAGACGUUAUGGUGAUCAUAAAGUUGUACUGUGAGCGUACUUUAGGAGACCGGUAUAUCGGCGAGGUGAGCACGUCCAUCAAACAACUCUUCGACCACGCGCAGCUGUUGGGAGGCAGUGCUGAUGUCAGUUUUCCGGUGAAAAAGGGUGGUGAAGACUUGCAGGGAAUGCUGAAGUUUGCUUACAGCUUUGGAGAGACGGUGGUUGUUGAGAAAACCCCGGGAUGGAAGAAAUUUUUGAAGAAUGGAGCUGUUAUAGUGUUGCAGGUGGCUCUUGAGGCUACUUUGGGAAUAGAAUUUGAAAUUCCAAUUUUCAAUGAUGAUAUUGAUCUUUGUUAAACUACCACCUCACUACUAAUUCUAGUUGGGUUGGUAGGAUCCCUUCAAUUCUCGAAAAAAGAAAAAAGGGAGAUUUUUAGUGUGUGUUUUUUUAGUUUGUUUUAAUAUCUAUAUAUAUAUAUAUAAAUAAAUUAAAUAAGGUGCAAUUGCAUUUAGUCUAUUAGGUUUACUUGUAAAAUGUUGUUAAUUUCGGGUGAUCAGAGUUAUGCUGUUGAAAUGUUUGUAGUUAUGGGAGGUAUGUAUUUUAGUUAAAUUGAUUUACUAGAGCAGGAGAUUUGCCGGCUCACUCGUUA